ensembl:lncRNA
AAGACCCAAAAGGCCAGUAGGAUAAUAUGGAGUACUGAGUACUCACUUUAGUCCAGGCCUAAGACUCGGCUGAGGCAAGCAAGUUCACCAUCCUAAACGGAGCUCCUCAUUCAAACUUUACGAUUGUGCGUGGCAGCAAUGCUCAUUCGCUCAACUUUGCUAAUGCAGUAACAGAGAUAUAGCAAAACCGUGUUGCUACACGUUUACAGGUUAGGAAGUAGCAUCGGCAGGAUUCUAACCCAGGCAAAAUCACAUGUGGAAUCUCUGUGCAAAGAGCUUUAGACUUCAUCGUGCUCCACCUGUGUCAACUCCUAUAGCAUUUGAAGCGAUAAUCUUACUCUUCUUUCUGCUUCCUUCAGAACUCCGGAAAAUGCCCUGCAUGGAGGUCAGUGGGCAGACACGUGGACUCCUCUUUGGAUGUGGAUUCCCAGGGACCACUUGGCGUUCUUGGUACCAGGAAUCGGAACCACCAGUCUGGCUGUCACAGCCAAGUUUGGCCAGCCUGGCUUUAGCUGUGAUUCUGUUUUAGACACACUUCCAUGUCAAACUGUCCAAGGAAUUAUGCCAUUUGCUAGGACCCAGCCCCCAGCCUCAUAGAGCAGAGUUCAGAGAAGGGAUUUGGAACUGAGAAACAAUAGCUUAAUAACUGGCACGCUCGUAACUUAAUCCUGGGAGUGGGUUGCAAUCCACAGAGAUGGGUCCUGGGCAGCCAUGUCCGUAUUCUGUGUGUUUGUCCCCCACUGGGCUGAGAACAUCUGGCUCAUGGGAGACCCUCGCAUCUCGUUUCUCCAGCACUGGUGUUGAGACGGCAGAUUAGAUCCUGCCACUGAAUCCAAAUCAUUCAACAUCUGGGACAGCUGUUUUCCACCAAACAGAUUAAGUGCAGAGGAAAAGCUACUCUCUGCAGCGAUCAUAGUCCGGGUAGGGAAAGCAAGGUAGAAAUGAGAAGGAAGAAUUGAGAAAGAGAGAGAGAGGGAAUCAGACGGCUGUCUAGGUCUUGACUUCAGGCUCUUUUCCCAGAGCUGGCUGCAUCCUCGUUUCGUGUGUUCCCUGAGACACCCCCACCCUUAGAAAACGACCUGGACAUUUUGCACCAGCCAAAGAAGUUGCUUUCUGCCAUCCACACCCUAAAAGCGCAGAAUCAUAGGACGACCAAAUCUUGCUACUUCUCAGAACAAAAUUUAAAUUCUUUUUGAGGCAAUGUGGCUUACAAAUAACACAUAAAUGAUUUACUGGUCAAAAACAUGGUUGGCCAACUUCCUUGGAAAAAAGACAAGAAAUGGGCAGGGCUAUUUGUUCCUUGUUUCAGCAACAGGUGACAGUAAGGAUUUCUGAAUUGUCUCCCAGCUCUAAUUUCCUUAAAAAAUUUUUUUUUCCUUACAACUUAUAAUUGGUAAUUAAACAAAAAUAACAGUAGUGUUCAGGAAAAUGAGAGGAGGGAGAAAGUCAGAAUUCAGGAGGAAAACUAGUUGUAAGUCAAGAAGGUACAUGGCCAUUUUGAGGAGAAUAAGACACACUUCAGGAAACGUGUUCCCUUGGACAGGACACAGGACAGGUGCGUCCAGUGAUGGCCUGACCCAAAAGCUAAAGUGAGGGGGGAGCUGCGGAGGAGCAGGAGGAGAGGGCAUUCCAUGGUUACCAGGGAGAAACUUAACUCGCGUGAGCUUAAUAAAGCAGUUUCAAAAGGUUUCGGUUUUUUGUUUGCUUCCCACCUGGGUCUGGGCAGAGCGCAGCCAGUCACAUUUCAGGCUCGCUGGAUCCGGGAAGUUGAGUAACGCCACCAGGACUCAUUAUCUGUGCCUCUGAGUUCCACUUGUGUCUGCACUGGCUUCAUUCCCAAGCAGAUUAUUUUUUAAUAUAAGAUGCUGCCAGAUUUAACAACUAAGAAUAUAAGACACCUAGAUUCAUUUGAACUUCAGAUAAAUAAACGACAAAUAUAUUUUUUGAGAUUAAGUAUAUCCCAUGCAAUAUUUGGGAUACACUUACACUGUAAAGUUAUUCAUUAUUUGAAUUUUACGGGGGAAUCAGGUAUUUUACUGGGGCUUCCCAGGUGGUACUAGUGGUAAAGAAGCUGCCUGCUAGAGCUGGUGACAUAAGAGACCUGGGUUCUAUCCCUGGAUCGGGAGGAUCCCUUGGAGAAGCACGUGGUAACCCACUCCAGUAUUUUAUUGGCCCACCCUCCUCACAUGAGGUGGCAAAGAUGACUGCCAAUACUUCUAGACCUUAUAUUCUAUCUUCUAUUAUGUGUCCCAUUGGAACAAUCCAUGAACUGAUCACUGUGGCUUAAGAAAUGCAAUAAUCUGAUGAGCCAGAAGACAGAAAAGAUGUGGGAACAUAAUAGCUGUCCAUGAAAAAAAAAACAACACAGACUUACAAAUGGUUGGAGUGGAAUAUAGAAACAAUUUGAGUUCAAGCUCCUCAUUUAGCAGAUACAACAGUGAAGCCUGGAGGCGGCUUUACUUCCCCAGACAGCAGUCGUGGGGGAAUCCAGGCUGGAACAUCCGCCUGCCACCUCCUUACCACCCAGGCUCUUCCCACGCACCCUCGUGGCCACCGCCAUCCAGAUAUCUACUGGAUAAGUCGGUUAGCACCCACAAGGGCUUCCUCUCUCUCUUCUCUGUAUACAAAGUGAACAGGUAAAAAGGAAAUGCUUGUCAAAACAAAUCUCUAUUUGGUUUUCUCCAUCUACGGGACAAUUUCUGUAACGUGUCAAUCACUUUGUUGCAAAAUAGCCCUUCCAACGCACAAUCCACAUUUUCUGAUGACACCAGCCUGUCAGUCACUCACUACAUCAAAGCCAGAUUUCAUGCCAGCGAAGACCAGCUUGUCAAU